rnacentral:rRNA from 1 species
UUGAAAGGGAAACGAUUGAAGUCAGUCGUGCUGGCGGGGAAAUCACCCCUCCCAUCGGGAGACCCAUGUUGUGGCGACCCUCAAAGCCCCCACAGCAUGUGUCUGGGGAUGAGGGGGGGCACUUUGGUCUCCCCGGUUACCAUCAAUUUCGAACGUCAUAAAAAGGCGGGAGGGAUGGGGAAAAAUUGGCGCGUCAUACCUUUAGCGGAAUGUGGUUUCGGGAUUGAGGAUCCAAAUAUACCUAGUUUGUUCCACCUGUUCCUUUGGUAUCCUGGUGACGACAGCUCGCUGACGGGGUUGGGUUCCCCUUUGAACAGGCUAGAGUGGAGCACUUCGUUAAGGAUGUUGACGUA